rnacentral:lncRNA from 1 species
UGUUAAUCUGAUGCUUCAUUCACCACAGUGGAGCUGCCUCUACCAUUGAAUGCGAAGACAGCUGUUUCACUCAAGACCAAAAGAUUGACUGGAGAGAUCUGUUAUCAAGAAACUGACUUGACCACAAGAACAAUUUACAGGUGGUAAACAUGAUCGCCUUAUUUAUAACAAGUGUAAGCCAUACUCAAACUACUUUUUUGGUGUGUUUUUUAAAGAAAGAUACUAAAACAGAAAGGAGCUUGGAACUAUUGCCACCCUUGCCCUCCAUGUUCCUAGAAGCAUGA